UGUUUAAAUAGAAAAGAAGCAGCGAGGGACCAGGUCCCCCAGUCUGAGGAAAGAAGCCAAUGAGAUUCCCAGGUCCUGAUCAGCUCUUCCCAGCCUCAGAGAAGUCAUGGCACCUGCUGCAUCCAGUACUUAUGGCUCCUCUUCGUGCUGGGCUUCACCCCCUUCUCAGGACUCAACCAUGAUAAGCUCAAUAGAGGCUGAGCUUCAGUAGUUUACCCUAAGGCAAUACCUGGUUCCAAGAAAGACCACAAACUGAGACCACCCAGGCACCACCCAGGAGCAGACUAUCCAAAGGAGAUU